CUAGAUGUACAUUACUGCUCAAAAGUACAUAGACACUUGCUUCCUUUAAACAGAAUUCACUCUUCUAAAAUUUGUUACAAAUAGAAAGAUCCCAGAUGUUUAUCCCUACAACUCGAUAAAAUUUACUUUUACAAUUUAAUAUACAACAAAAAAAUUGUUGCUGCAUCUGUAAGUGUCACUUUCAUUCACUUUAAGAAGUUCCUUAUUCUGACGUCGUUUGAGUGUCAAACUAUACUACAGAUGCGACAAACAAGAUUUUUCGGCAAUUAAUAGAGAGAAUAUUCUAAUUCUACUAAUGAAUUAUCUUCUUUUUACAUUUAAAAUUGCGUCUAGAAUUGCCAACUAAUUUUAAUAUUCAAUUCUCAAGAAACAAAUGAUUUACUCUCAUAGGAUUAUUCAUUGCAAAAAGAAGACGUAAAUAAUGGUACAUUCUGAGAUGAUUUUGCAGAACUGUUUUGGAACAUCAUCACUUUUCUUUACUUUUCAACUUAUGAAUUUGAUCAGUAUGGGCUUCUGAACGGUUCAUAUUGUGCCUGUUUAAAUUAUUCCGGCAGAUUACUUAGCUAUUUCGUUUAGAAUUGUUUAGUAAAUCGACGACUAUUAUCUUGAAGAUUCACGAUCACGAAAGGUUACGGGUAUACAAAAGGGCGUGCUAUUCCCAGGCAAGGCAUAGGCAGUUGCUAGCGUCGCCGUAGCUACUGUUCGCUGGUUAGGAGAUUCUCCUCUCACGCCCAUGCACGAUUCUUAUUUUAAUGUGUGUGAAAAUUACACAAACGAGUUGAAAUGCACGUGAUGCACGAGUUGCACGUGACCUCGAUUUAGCAGUAGCUUUCAUUCUCAUGCGACACGGACAAGACACUGGAAAGUAUUAUUUUUGUAUCUAAACUAUGUAUACUAUUCUGUAUUUAUUAUAUUGAACAGAUUUUAUUUACGACCAACAUUGAUUUAUUUAUCAAUCAACAACUAACUAAAAUAAGUUUUCUCACUUUAGAAAAGUUAAUAACAAACCACAAUCAAAAGCUCUCAUAAUGACCUAUAAAUCGUUAAUUCUGUACCAUUCAGUUUACCAUAAAUUAAAUUUCUUGCUGUUUAAUCCUUAGAAAAGGAGAAACAGAAGUAUUAUACGAAGUUUUAUUACCAAAGCUUUAAAUAAAUUUAUAAGUAGUUGAACAUUUGAAUGCAGUCUAAAAUACGUCGUUUCAAUCGUCAGUUUCAAAUAAUAGCUGACAUUUUCAAGUUAUAUAAAUCAAACAAUUUUUUGAACGCGACAUACUCCAUGGUACUAAACAACUAAAUUUUUCGAGACACGUUUUAAUUGCAUUGUCCUAGCCUUGAGAGUAUAAACGUCGAUCUUCAGUUAACUAGUUAAAUUUCAAUAUAGGUUUUCCUGCAAUUAAUGGUGUCUCUGCAGCUUGUAGCCACAUCCAAGGGCUUGUGACCCACGAGUUUAGGUCGUCGGUUGCACAAGCAAGGUUAUAACACGGCAAUUACCGUUGAGCAGGCGACGACGGCACCCUAAUUAGUUAUUAAGGUUCCUUCGUCGUCCCUUCUGAUUAGAAAUCUGACAGCAUAUUUCUUUGUAGGAUGUAGCUGCUUUAAAAAUACGUCUUCAUAUUAUAAAUCUUGACAAUAAUAAACGUACUUGGAAUGAACUGUAUUUUCAUUUUAUCGCUUGAGAAUAUUUUAAACGAAUUAAUUUGAAAUAUUUCGAAAGAAAUGGAGGAAAUGUUGCUUGCAUAUUUAACUUUCUUGCCGUCUAAAUAUCAUUCAUAUAGAGGAUAAUAAUAGUUUAUCAUUAUUAUUGUAUGUAUUUGUUUAAUGUCAUUAUACAAUUACAAAAGGAGAAAUUUUAUCUGAAAAUUAACUAACUGAACAUAAUACACGUAUUAUACAUAAUGGAAGUAUUAAACAAAAUUCAACUAACACAAAAUCGAUUUUAAGAUGGUUCUUGAAAUGUAAGUAAAUAUAAAACGUAUUAAAUAACAGUAGCAUACAAUUUAUCGAUGCAAUACUAUAUUUUUGAUUUUUAUUUAUACCUUUCUAAAUUUGAACGUAAACGAUGUAUAAAUAAUUACAUUACGAACAGAGAUAUCUAGAUUUGUAUUUAAUAUUAUAGAAGAAUUAAUAAAAUUGAUAUUAUAUUCGAAUGUAUUCCGAUUAACAUGACUAAAGCUAGACUUUUGUAUUUAGUGGAACAGGUAUAUUAUAGAGAGAAUAACCUUCACUCUAUUAAACGAACUACGUUGACGAAACCCUUUAUACAUACAUGGCAAAAGUUUGAAAUUCCUCAUCUUAGAAAAUCAUCUAAACUAUGCAAAACGAUGAUCUGAACGCAAAUGCAAUGAGUAAAGACGUUCCUCAGCGUUGCAUGAGUUUCCAGCCCAAGUAUUUCAGUUUUGUAUUGAAGCUAGAAGCGUCAGGUUGCUACGUUUCAGAGCAAUGUAACUUAACGAGAGUCAAUCUACUACAUAGUUUAGUUAUGUAGUACUGAACAAUAUACAACAAAUGUUAACUCUCCUCCGUCCUGCGAAGCACAAUUGCCAAAUAUAUUUACAGCAAUUAAUUAGACAUAAUUACGCUUAUACUGCAAGAAGGCGACAGCGAAAGGAAGGAACGAAAAAGUUUGUUUAUUUGUUAUGUCUGGGGAAAAUACUUUCAUAUAGCAGAAUCUUAAUUAUCAAAACAAUUAAUGAACACUUUAUUAUUAGAACAUCGAUUAAUGGAGAAUUUGGGGUUCUUCGUAACAAAGAAGCUCGACGAAGUAACGACAUAUUAGGCUGUCAAGCAGUCAGCCUCCACAUGGAAAUUCAAUUUGAACUGCACCAGCUGCGAGUCCCGUGACGGCUACGGCUGACAAUGCACGCGAAACCAUAUUACGGCAAUACCGAGGCGAAUAAUCUGAAAUUGAAAUUACGGAAGUUAAGAGCUUUGUUCCAGGCUCUGGAGCGCAAACGGUAGUAAGAGAACGAGCACGACAAUGCAUGAAUGCAAACGUGAGAUCAGUUCACUUGUUCAGGAUUCCUUCGGGAUCUUCUCCAUCUACGCUUUUCUUUUCAUUCAGUUUUCCCUUUCUCUUCCUAUUUCUCCGCUCCCGUUUUUCUCCCUUACACUUUCUCCCUUAGUUAAGCUCUGUGAAACGAGGCGAGAAAAGACAGCUACAAUCGGCUAUCUGAAUACAGAUGUACCGUUGUUCACCGUGAAAUGUAUUGUAGUUCGAAGAUGGAUCGACAAUUUUUGUAUACUUGUUAGAAUCGAAAAAGACUUAGCCUUUAAAUUCUUCUAUUAAGAUGAUAUACACAUGUGUAUAAGAUGUGAUUUUUUAGAAAUAAAAGUCGCACUCCCAGGAUUACAAAAGUAACAAUAAUUUCGAACAACAAAUUAUAUACGUAAUGCUAAUAAAGGAUAAAAUUCUUAUUUUCAAAUUUAAUUUAUAAAAUGUAUGUCAUAAACGUUCUAAACUUCGUUGUAUUCAAAAUAUCGUAAUGUGCAAGUGUACCUUAUACAUCCAAUGUUAUAUCGAAUAGUAUGAAUUUUUGUUUUGCGAUUGCGAUACUAAACGUCGGCUAUGUGUAUGUGUCUACUUAGAAGUAAGCGUUCAGUACAGUUUCUUUGCUUUAAGUGGUCAUUUCGUGCCUAUUGCCACCAAGUAGAAACUGAAAACUCGCAUUAAGGAAACUCCUAUAAUCGUUAAGAGAAAUGCGGCCUCCAACAAUGGUGCUGUUUGCUAUGCAUAUAACGAAGCAAAGAUUACUUGCUGUAACUUACUUAAAUAGUUACAAUUAAUGUCGCAACUACUAAUAAAGUGAAUAAGCCACGCGUUUACGUUAAUCUUGCUUCCAUAAGUUAUGUUUGAAAAAAACGAAAGAAAUCAGAUUAAAAUAGUAAGAAAUAAACGAAACAGUCGUCACGAUUCGCGAUCAUGAAUAUAUAUAUAUAUUCGACAAAUGGACGACUUAAAUUAACUUCAAUUUCAUAAAUAUAGCAAAUGGUUGAAAAUCUUGAUAUCUCAUUGUCAGUAUGAAAAAUCUUCGAUUCUCUGACUUUUAUGGGUUAUCGGAUUCCAAAGUUCAAUUCGUAUCCGAAGUGUUGUCAGUGUAACGUCGGUGCAACGGAAUGCUCUAAAAUCUCCUGUGAAAUAUCGCAUUUUCGUCUUUUCGUGCAGGUACGUUCGCAUGUCUCAAAUUACAUUGCUCUCCGUGACUCCUAUCGCUUUGAUACACGACUCAGCUUCUAUGUUAGGUUAAAAAGGAAAAGCUAUCGAAAAGAGAAGAUAGAAUGGCUUUGAUAUUUUUACGAGAUACAGGAAUCUUGAAUUAUCAAGAUAAUGGUUGCACUUAUUUAUUUCAGUCUGAUGGUCUAGAAUUGGACUUGAUUUAACAUAGUUUAUUAAUAUGAAACGAAGCUAAAAAUUAAACUUACGGACAACCACAAUGAUUAUUGAGAUAAUACAACUGUGCUAUUUCGUCGCGUAUGUACAAAUUCAUGAAAAUACUCGAACUCUUGUAGACGCCUUGUAAACAUGUACGCACCUUGUAAACACCUUAUGAACACGUAUGCGUGAUCAUAAUUUACAAAACGAAUAUAAAAAAUUAAACACAGAA